GUCCAUGAGCGCCUCCCUUUGUACACCGCUGGUAUUAAAGACUGUCAGGUCCAGCUGGACCAUCUGCUGAUCGAGCAAGCCAAGCUAACAGAGACUCUGGCUGCAGACAAGAGGUACAGAGGGGUGCAGGAAUUCAAGUUCUCGGUGUGAGGAGGCAGUUCUGGCAGGUUUACCAUGAAUCUCUGUCUGCUGCAGCUGCCAGAAGAUGGAGAUGCUGCUGCACAAGAUUGUGGCGAUUCAUCAGCAUUACCGCAAAGACCGGCUGAUCGGCAAGCUGGCCUACAAUGAUGAGCAAAUACACAAGUUUGAGAAGUGAGUCUAGUGACUGAUUUGUGUGUUUCUGCAGAUGUGUUUCCAGCCCGUGAAGUCUCGGAGCUUUGGCCUAAUCUGGUUUCUCUCUCUCCUCUCUCAGGUUCCACCUGUCGUCCCACAUAAAGCGAGUGAAAUCUCUCUUCAGAGAGGAAUGUGUUCAGAGGUAUAAAGAGCUGCUGGCCUCAACAAAGACAUGGAGCAGUGCUUUACAGGAGAUGGAGAACCGACUUCUGGGCUUCAGCUCUUUAUCGACAGGGUUGCUGACAGAUUUGGAAAUGAAUGAGCAGCAUUAUAAUAAGGUUAAUCUGGAUUUUUAAAAAUGUUUUUAACCUUCAUGUACUCCAUUAAAUUUGAUGUUUUGUUCGUUUUUGCGUUUUGUUCUUGCGUUGUGGUUUUCGGUGAAUACUUUAUCCUUGUUCUGUUUUCUCCAGAUUCUAGACAACAUCCUUUCCACCCUGCCGUGUCUGAGAGAAGAACAGCAGCAAGGAAUCACGCCCAGAGAAAAGGAUCAGAUGAUUUCCAGGAUGCACCAUUUGAGGGAGGAAAUGGAGCUGCUGGUGAGAGAACUGCAUUGUAACAACGCCAUCAUUGAAAGGUCAUUUGCUCAACUUCCUAUUCAGUUUGUUCUUGAUCUUCUGCUGCACGACGUUGAUUGUCUUCCUCUGAACGUGCAGCCUCGGAGUGGUGAACUCUGCUGGACAGGAAGCGAGUCCAGCCCGACCUUCCACUUUGUGACAGAGAGGAUCAUCUCACAACAAAGACCCUGCAUUUCCCUCCAGGGACUUGGGCGUAAUCGCUUUCAGAACAUCAGAAAAUUAAUUGCAAUUAAAAGAAAAAAGAAAAAGAAAUCUUGCUUGCACAGAAAGACGGAUGUUGAGCCACAAAUGGACUUUUAGCCGCUGCGUUUGUGCUGACUGAGUACAGCAGUUCAAUAGAAGCCUCAUUAAUGCCUUAAGUGUUAUUGUAUUUUUAAUAGGCUUCUGGAAUGAUGGAGAGUGAGCAUGAAACAAAACCAAUGACCACUCAGCCGCUUAGUAUUUCAUUCGGUGUGUUUCCUGUUUUCUACUCAUAAAAUGUACUUAAGAAAAGAAAAUAUCUGCAUUUUUUUUUUAAAGCAUUUUCUUUUGUGUGUGUCCUACUGUAAACUCCUGGACUGAUUUGAAUCCUUUCUGUGAUCGAUACACAGAAAUAUCAGCAAAAAGAGUUUUUUUGUUUACUUGUGAUCAUCAAUAUUGUGGUUGGGGUCCUGUUACAGCAUCCCUGAGAGACGUAAAUGAUAUUGAGAUACCAAACUGUAGUGUUUUUCACCCAAACUGCUUUUUGUGCAGUUUUUUUUUAGUAUAUAGUUUUGGGAUCUUCUGUAAAAGACAGAAACGGGAAGUCUGGGAAACCCUUAAUCUUCUUGUUUUCAGGUUAUGUGGGGCUGACACAUUUCAAAAUUACCCUCGACAGUUUGGUCUUCUCUGUUUAGGGGAAAUCCCGCGCAAUGUUAUUUGUCGUUUGGUGAAUGAUAUAUACUGUAAAUAUGAGGUUAUUCAUGUAUGAAAAAAAUAAAAGUAGAUUUCUGCCUCUUUUUUCCAAUUCAGUAUGAAAAUAAAAUUAACCCAAUAUCAAUCAAACUAUAUGAAAUCAGAGAUUUAUAGACAACACUUUGAUAUUUUAAGAAAGUAAACGGUUUUUCUGAACAAAAAUAAAAGUAAACUUGUUCUCCUAAAGAGUAGUGAAAGUAGAAGUCUGAGUGUGCAGGUGGUGUGGGCGUCCUGCUGGACUUUUUCAGCUGCUUGUGGUUUUGUUGCUGCUCAUAUGACGCGCUCUUGGCGAAGUGGAAAGUUUGAUAUUUUUCUCACUCGAACAAACAAGUGAGAUUUGUUUUAGAUGUUUAUAUGGUUCCGCAUCAAAGCAGAAUUUUGUGCACACGUACCCACUUUGCCUUACAAUAAAUAUUUAGGUCAAUCUAAAAAUAAAAUGAAGAAUUUAUUUUCAUUUAUUAACAAUGCAGGACACCAAAACAAGAUGAAAUUAUAACUUAAUAAAUGAAAAGUUAAACUUAUAUAAUCUGCUCCUAUUACUAAAUAAACAAAAAUAAAUCAAAGUACAUUAAACAAAGAAAAUGAAAGUUAUCAAUAAAAAGCUAUUAAGUCCAGUUUACAUUUUAAAUAAACAUAAAUACGUACAAAUUUACAAAACAAACCCUUGUUUUUUGAUAUUUAUCUAUAAGGUUCAGGAGCAUCAUCUACUUGAAGUUUUAGAAAUUAAUUCUAUAUAUAAUAUUUGCUUAGUAUCUCAUUUUAAAGGCAGCAAAUGAAUUUAAGCUCCUUUGCUCAGUUUAUUCCAUAUGUUAGAUCCAUAUACUGAAGCAGAUCUCUCCAGCGCUUUUGUUCUAAAUCUUGAUUUUCUGAAUAUUUCAUGUCCUUUUAAGUCAACAUGAGUUUGUCUUUUAUUGAAUUUAACCUGUAAAUUGACUGGUAUUUACUGUAUUUCUUGUGUACUUUAAUACAUAAAGUUGAGAAUGUUGAAAUCAACUACAAAUGUUAGUAUUUUCAAAUGAAUAAAUAGUGAUCCUGGUGAAUCUCUAUUUACUUUUUUCUCUUUCUGGGGCUCUGCCCAUUUUAUUCAUUUUGAAGUCACUACGUGAUGACACAUGUUGCUUCUUCUUUGCCAGUUCGCCCUUGUAAAUCAGAUCUUGAUCUUAACAAAUCCUUUAUUUGGUUAAAUAAAGACAAUAAUUAAAAAAAC
ensembl:lncRNA